rnacentral:rRNA from 1 species
UGGGGAAUAUUGCGCAAUGGGCGAAAGCCUGACGCAGCGACGCCGCGUGAGGGAUGACGGCCUUCGGGUUGUAAACCUCUUUCAGCAGGGACGAAGCGCAAGUGACGGUACCUGCAGAAGAAGCACCGGCUAACUACGUGCCAGCAGCCGCGGUAAUACGUAGGGUGCGAGCGUUGUCCGGAAUUAUUGGGCGUAAAGAGCUCGUAGGCGGUUUGUCGCGUCGACUGUGAAAACCUCAGCUUAACUGUGGGCUUGCAGUCGAUACGGGCAGACUUGAGUUCGGUAGGGGAGACUGGAAUUCCUGGUGUAGCGGUGAAAUGCGCAGAUAUCAGGAGGAACACCGGUGGCGAAGGCGGGUCUCUGGGCCGAUACUGACGCUGAGGAGCGAAAGCGU